rnacentral:rRNA from 1 species
GACGAACGCUGGCGGCGUGCCUAACACAUGCAAGUCGAACGGAACUGUUUUGAAAGAUUUCUUCGGAAUGAAUUUGAUUUAGUUUAGUGGCGGACGGGUGAGUAACGCGUGAGUAACCUGCCUUCAAGAGGGGGAUAACAUUCUGAAAAGAAUGCUAAUACCGCAUGACAUAUCGGAAUCACAUGAUUUUGAUAUCAAAGAUUUUAUCGCUUGAAGAUGGACUCGCGUCCGAUUAGUUAGUUGGUGAGGUAACGGCUCACCAAGACCGCGAUCGGUAGCCGGACUGAGAGGUUGAACGGCCACAUUGGGACUGAGACACGGCCCAGACUCCUACGGGAGGCAGCAGUGGGGGAUAUUGCGCAAUGGGGGCAACCCUGACGCAGCAACGCCGCGUGAAGGAUGAAGGUUUUCGGAUUGUAAACUUCUUUUAUUAAGGACGAAAAAUGACGGUACUUAAUGAAUAAGCUCCGG